rnacentral:lncRNA from 1 species
UUUUCGUCUCCUUUCUCCUAUUCUCCUAUUCUUCCUUUCUUUCUCCGCUCGUUUCUUUUCCCUCCUCCUCCUCCUCCACCACCACCACUUGCGCGUCCCCGUCGUACUCCUCCCUUAUCUCAUCUAUGUUACCAUAUAUAUAUUACAUACUAUAUAUAUAUUUUAUAUGUUACCAUAUAUAAUAUAUGUACACUACCAUUUAUAUUAUAUAUAUUACUAUGUACAUUACUUUCUUUUUAGGAUAGUAUUAUUUUCUUUUGAUUAUUUCUUUGUCUAACAGGAUACAAUCCUGUACUUCCAUAUAAAGCUUUUUCCUCUCUCUAUAUAAGAGAAUGGAUUUAGAUGAAUAAAAAUACAGAAAAUUUCUCAAUUCUCGUGUUUCGUGGUAUCAAAGCCCUUCUAGAGUUUUAUUCUCUUUCGACGACAUUUUUGCUCAUCUCCUAAGAAAGCGAAU